ensembl:lncRNA
CCAGAAGUGUUUGGUUUGGUGGAACCCUGUUGUUCAUGUGUGAGCGGCUGAUUAGCCCUCAUGCCAUACAGCUGUGGGGGAACUAAUGAUUGGUUUGGCCGUUGCAGCAGGGGGUUCAAAUUGAUUGACGGACAUAGCUCCACUAUACUCCUGAACAGACCAGUGUUCUGUGGCUGCAGGGCAGAGUCUGCUGACGGUGUCUCUGCUUAUCGGCGGCUUCAUGCGUCUGUAGCGUCGGACAGCCGAGGUAACCACAAUGUUUGUUUAUGUUUAUUGUUAUCGUUCUGUUGCUUGUUUGUGGUUAAACAUUUCUUUGUUUCAUUACAGUUUUGCCUCUGUUGCCUUGUCUUUUUGCUUGUUUAUUUUGUUGUUUCUUUCUUUUAGUUUGUAGUUGUUUUGGCUGGUUUUGUAUCAGUUUGCUUGGUUCGAGUUUAGUUUAGUUUCUCCCCAUGUGUGUUUAUCUUUAGAUUGUUGUGGCUGUGUUCUCUGGCUCAGUAGUCAGGUUUCUCCCCUCCAUAGCUGCGUAGGGCCUGUGUGACUUCCAGUUUUAAUAACUGCGUUUAUAUUAACAUUAGUGUGUUGUGUGCUGAACAUAGUUUUUGUAUAAGAAUGAAAUUGUAUUUGUUUUUCUAUACACGCUGCUGUCUUCAUUUGUGCAUGUACCUGUGUUUAGUAGGGGAAGCCCUCUGUUGAGAGGCAGGAUUGUUAAUGUUCUUAAGGUGGAGAUCAAAUUGCGCUGUAUGUCCCCCCUAAACUAAAAUGCAUUUGACACCCCUGUCUGAAGUUACCCUACACCAUCAUUUUAAACCUACAUCUGUUAUUAUCUAGCAAACUGACAUGCUCUUACUGUGUACUGCAACCUGGAUGUUAAUUUCUCUGAUGAUGGCUCCCUUAUCAUCUUCAUAAUGUUCCAUCUGAUGGGUUUGUUCUCCUGCUGAGAUGAACAUUGAUCUGGUUUUUGGUUCUUUUUGCAACAAUUGCAUCUUCUUUUUGACAGUUCUGGACUGCUGAUGCGCUCCAUGUACACAGGUAAUGCAAAAAUCUUUGAAGCUUGGUUUGGGCUAAUGCUGAUGAGAUGUUGUUAAAGUCUGUAACUAGAACAGCUGUGUCUCAACUCAACAUCAAUGUUUUUUCAAUAAAGCACAGAUUUCAUUGUUUCCUUUAAUGAAUACUCACCAG